GUGGGUGGCUAUAAUGGCAGCCUGUAGGUUUGUAUGGAAAACAAGUAUGGCACUGUGAAAAAAUCCUUCUCUCACCCUACAGAUACCUGUACGGAGAACUUGGGAGGCAUUUUUAUAAGCUCAUUGUCAAGUGAAUGUUAAAGUCCCCAUUCACUGAGAAGCAAAGGUAAGUCUGAAAAAUGCGUUGAAAAAAGAAAAGGGGGUGGGGAGUGGGGUGGAAUCACCUAGCAUUGAAGCAGCCUAACCAAGUGACAGACACGUAGACAACUCCGAUGCUGCCAGAAUAACACUCUGCACAGCCCACCAGCAAGCAAUUUGUCACUGCGACAAGAAUAUCCUCCGCAAUUUGGCAUCAGGGUCCUUGGACAGCCAACUGCGCCUGUACAGCACGAGACGUGCUAUUCGGCAACGGGAAGAUGGGAACCAAGAACUAGAAGGAAUAAGUGGAAAUCAGGAGAAACAUUAAAGACAUUCCAGUGUCACUGAGCAUGCCGAAACCUGAAAACAUGAGGAAUCAAAAAUCUG
rnacentral:lncRNA from 1 species